CCAAUAGCGUAUAUUAAAGUUGUUGCGGUUAAAAAGCUCGUAGUUGGAUCUCAGUUCGGGACGGGCGGUCCGCCUACCGGUGGUCACUGUCCGGUCCCAACACCGGCCGGUUUCCCUGGAUGAUCUUCACCGGUUGUCCUGGGUGACCGGCAAGUUUACUUUGAAAAAAUUAGAGUGCUCAAAGCAGGCGCGACGCCUGGAUAAUGGUGCAUGGAAUAAUGGAAUAGGACCUCGGUUCUAUUUUGUUGGUUUUAGGAACACGAGGUAAUGAUUAAGAGGGACAGACGGGGGCAUUCGUAUUGCGACGCUAGAGGUGAAAUUCUUGGACCGUCGCACGACGAACUACUGCGAAAGCAUUUGCCA
rnacentral:rRNA from 1 species